CGGGAAACGUCUAUCGUAUAAACGGAGGGCUCCUGAAGUUCCUGCUCAAACAACUGUCAAAACAUGGAAAAAAUUUAAUCAAGGACACUUUGAAGAAACUGCCGGGUGAAAUUCUGAAAACUAAAGUUACAACUCCAGCUCCUCCAUGGGAAGAGUUUCAACAUGGAGCUAGAGG